rnacentral:rRNA from 1 species
GACGAACGCUGGCGGCGUGCCUAAUACAUGCAAGUAGAACGCUGAAGGAGGAGCUUGCUCUUCUGGAUGAGUUGCGAACGGGUGAGUAACGCGUAGGUAACCUGCCUGGUAGCGGGGGAUAACUAUUGGAAACGAUAGCUAAUACCGCAUAAGAGUAGAUGUUGCAUGACAUUUACUUAAAAGGUGCAAUUGCAUCACUACCAGAUGGACCUGCGUUGUAUUAGCUAGUUGGUGGGGUAACGGCUUACCAAGGCGACGAUACAUAGCCGACCUGAGAGGGUGAUCGGCCACACUGGGACUGAGACACGGCCCAGAAUCCUACGGGAGGCAGCAGUAGGGAAUCUUCGGCAAUGGACGGAAGUCUGACCGAGCAACGCCGCGUGAGUGAAGAAGGUUUUCGGAUCGUAAAGCUCUGUUGUAAGAGAAGAACGAGUGUGAGAGUGGAAAGUUCACACUGUGACGGUAUCUUACCAGAAAGGGACGGCUAACUACGUG